AGAGUUGAUUAUGGCUCAGGAUGAACGCUAGCGAUAGGCCUAACACAUGCAAGUCGAGGGGCAGCACAUGAGUAGCAAUACGAUGGUGGCGACCGGCGCACGGGUGAGUAACACGUAUGCAACCUACCUUUAACAGGGGAAUAACCCGUUGAAAAACGGACUAAUACUCCAUAACACAGGGGUCCCGCAUGGGAAUAUUUGUUAAAGAUUAAUCGGUUGAAGAUGGGCAUGCGUUCCAUUAGCUUGUUGGUGAGGUAACGGCUCACCAAGGCCACGAUGGAUAGGGGAACUGAGAGGUUUAUCCCCCACACUGGAACUGAGACACGGUCCAGACUCCUACGGGAGGCAGCAGUGAGGAAUACUGGUCAAUGGAGGCAACUCUGAACCAGCCAAGUCGCGUGAAGGAUGAAGGUCUUAUGGAUUGUAAACUUCUUUUGCAAGGGAAUAAAGUGGGGGACGUGUCCUCCUUUGCAUGUACCUUGCGAAUAAGGAUCGGCUAACUCCGUGCCAGCCGCCGC
rnacentral:rRNA from 1 species